CCUACGGGGGGCAGCAGUGGGGAAUUUUGCACAAUGGGGGAAACCCUGAUGCAGCAACGCCGCGUGAGUGAAGAAGUAUUUCGGUAUGUAAAGCUCUAUCAGCAGGGAAGAAAAUGACGGUACCUGAUUAUGCAGCCCCGGCUAACUACGUACCAGCAGCCGCGGUAAUACGUAGGGGGCAAGCGUGAUACGGAUUUACUGGGGGUAAAGGGAGCGGAGACGGAAGCUCAAGUCUGGAGUGAAAUGCCGGGGCUUAACCCCGGAAGUGCCUUGGAAACUGGGCAGCUAGAGUGCAGGAGAGGUAAGUGGAACUCCUAGUGUAGCGGUGAAAUGCGUAGAUAUUAGGAGGAACACCAGUGGCGAAGGCGGCUUACUGGACUGUAACUGACGUUGAGGCUCGAAAGCGUGGGGAGCAAACAGGAUUAGAUACCCUGGUAGUC
rnacentral:rRNA from 1 species